rnacentral:rRNA from 1 species
GAUCAUGGCUCAGGAUGAACGCUGGCGGCAUGCCUAAGACAUGCAAGUCGAACGAGGUGGCCCAAAGAAGAUUGAGUGCUUGCACAAGAUUGGACUUGGAUUACCACCUAGUGGCGGACGGGUGAGUAACACGUAGGUGACCUACCUUUGAGUUUGGGAUAACUAUUAGAAAUGAUAGCUAAUACCGAAUUAAAUACAGAUUCGUUUCUGUAUUAAAAGGAGCCUUUAAAGCUUCGCUUAAAGAUGGG